rnacentral:rRNA from 1 species
UACGGGGGGGGCAAGCGUUGUUCGGAAUUACUGGGCGUAAAGGGCUCGUAGGCGGCCAACUAAGUCGGACGUGAAAUCCCCAGGCUCAACCUGGGAACUGCGUCCGAUACUGGAUGGCUUGAAUUCGGGAGAGGGAUGCAGAAUUCCAGGUGUAGCGGUGAAAUGCGUAGAUAUCGUGGAGAACACCCGUGGCGAAGGCGGGCUUCUGGCUAAUUACUGACGCUGAGGUGCGAAAGCUAGGGGAGCGAACGGG